UGGGGAAUAUUGGACAAUGGGGGAAACCCUGAUCCAGCGACGCCGCGUGUGUGAAGAAGGCCUGCGGGUUGUAAAGCACUUUUAGUGGGGAUGAAAAGCUCAGGGCUAACACCUCUGGGUCUUGACCUAACCCACAGAAAAAGCACCGGCUAACUCUGUGCCAGCAGCCGCGGUAAUACAGAGGGUGCAAGCGUUAAUCGGAAUUACUGGGCGUAAAGCGAACGUAGACGGUUGGAUAAGUCGGAUGUGAAAGCCCCGGGCUCAACCUGGGAAUUGCAUUCGAGACUGUGCAGCUAGGGUGCGGAAGAGGGAAGCGGAAUUUCAGGUGUAGCGGUGAAAUGCGUAGAUAUCUGAAGGAACACCAGUGGCGAAAGCGGCUUCCUGGUCCAGCACCGACGUUCAGGUUCGAAAGCAUGGGGAGCAAACAGGAUUAGAUACCCUGGUAGUCCAUGCCAUAAACGAUGAGGACUAGACGUUGAGAGGGUAAGCCUCCCAGUGUCGUAGCUAACGCGCUAAGU
rnacentral:rRNA from 1 species